GACAGAGGGUGCAAACGUUUGUUCGGAAUUACUGGGCGUAAAGCGAGUGUAGGCGGUUCUCAAAGUCGGAUGUGAAAGCCCCGGGCUCAACCCGGGAAGUGCACCCGAUACUGGAGAGCUAGAGUGUCGGAGAGGUUGGUGGAAUUCUCGGUGUAGAGGUGAAAUUCGUAGAUAUCGAGAGGAACACCGGUGGCGAAGGCGGCCAACUGGACGAACACUGACGCUGAGACUCGAAAGCGUGGGGGAGCAAACAGG
rnacentral:rRNA from 1 species